rnacentral:rRNA from 1 species
ACUGCAGGAUGGGCCCGCGGCGCAUUAGCUAGUUGGUGAGGUAACGGCUCACCAAGGCCACGAUGCGUAGCCGACCUGAGAGGGUGAUCGGCCACACUGGGACUGAGACACGGCCCAGACUCCUACGGGAGGCAGCAGUAGGGAAUCUUCCGCAAUGGACGAAAGUCUGACGGAGCAACGCUGCUUGAGUGAAGAAGGUUUUCGGUUCGUAAAACUCUGUUGUGAGGGCAGAACAAGUACCAAGUAACUACUGGUACUUUGACGGUACCUCACCAGAAAGCCACGGUUAAUUACGUGCCAGCACCCGCGGUAAUACGUAGGUGGCAAGCGUUGUCCGGAAUUAUUGGGCGUAAAGCGCGCGCAGGCGGUCCUUUAAGUCUGAUGUGAAAGCCCACGGUUCAACCGUGGAGGGUCAUUGGAAACUGGGGGACUUGAGUGCAGAAGAGGAAAGUGGAAUUCCACGUGUAGCGGUGAAAUGCGUAGAGAUGUGGAGGAACACCAGUGGCGAAGGCGACUUUCUGGUCUGUAACUGACGCUGAGGCGCGAAAGCGUGGGGAGCAAACAGGAUUAGAUACCCUGGUAGUCCACGCCGUAAACGAUGAGUGUUAAGUGUUAGGGGUUUCCCGCCCCUUAGUGCUGCAGCUAACCCAUUAAGCAUUCCCCCUGGGGAGUACGCCCGCAAGGCUGAAAUUCAAAGGAUUUGACGGGGGCCCGCACAAGCGGUGGAGCAUGUUGUUUAAUUCGAACAAACGGGAAGAACCUUACCAGGUUUUGAAAUCCCGUUGACCCCUUAGGAGACUAGGGUUUUCCUUCGGGGACAGCGGUGACAGGUGGUGCAUGGUUGUCGUCAGCUCGUGUCGUGAGAUGUUGGGUUAAGUCCCGCAACGAACGCAACCCUUGAUCUUAGUUGCCAGCAUUCAGUUGGGCACUCUAAGGUGACUGCCGGUAACGAACCGGAGGAAUGUGGGGAUCACCUCAAAUCAUCAUGCCCCUUAUGACCUGGGCUACACACGUGCUACAAUGGACGGUACAAAGGGCUGCAAACCCGCGAGGGGGAGCCAAUCCCAGAAAACCGUUCUCAGUUCGGAUUGCAGGCUGCAACUCGCCUGCAUGAAGCCGGAAUCGCUAGUAAUCGCGGAUCAGCAUGCCGCGGUGAAUACGUCCCGGGCCUUGUACACACCGCCCGUCACACCACGAGAGUUUGUAACA